rnacentral:lncRNA from 1 species
AUGAUAUUUGGUGGAAAGUGCUCUUUACACCUUGGCUCAUUUACAUUUCUCUGUUUCAGGAGCUGGAUGUUUGCUUUCACCAGUGGGAGUAUUUUUUUAAGGCCCAUCUGGCAUCCAAAGACAGACGCACAGCCUCCGUGUGACCUGUCACAUCAGCAUGGCUUCGGCAUGUGGUGCCGAUUGCGGGCUCACCAUCUCCUCUUCCCACACCUCGUGCCAGGUUUCUCCAGGAAAACCAUACCAGGCUGCCCUCCAUCAAGCAAUCCUUGGAUAUGCAAAUGCAGCAUCAAAAUGAUUUUUUUCCAUAUUUUGACAGAAUUUGAUGUUGUUGCAGUGAUAAGAUGUGACACAGAUUGCAGCAGGGCUUCAGGAACCUGCUCAUUGGGUACACUGAGGCCGUUCAGAUUUUAAAUGACUGUUUUUUGAGAAUCACCCUUAGAAAUAAAUAAAAAUUUGGAAACCAAAGACAGGGCAGUUACUGGGGUUUGGAUCUAAUAGAUCUAAUCCCAGGGUCACCAGGAUGCUGAAUCUGUGAAUUAUACUCUCAGAUCCUCAGUCUUCCCACCUGGAAAAUGAUGCUAAUAAGACAUAGGUCACAGAAAUGUUAUAAGGGUCAGCGGUCAGAGUGAAAACACCUGCCAGAACAUGGAGAGGACCUCAUAUGGUGGCCAGAACAUGGAGAGGACCUCAUAUGGUGGCCUACUACUACUAUAACUAUGACUAUGACUAACACCUGGGCUAUUCCUUUGGCAAAGUUAUUUGUCAAGCAGGUAUCAAGUGUUGUAGCGAUGCUGAGAUUAUGCCAAUAGCUGAGCUUUGUAGUCAUCUUAGAGGAGAAGGUAAUUGAGAUGCUUCUUUGAGGAGUCAUCACCAGAGAGUACCAGCAUAGAAUGAUGGACUGUACAUUCACUCAGCAUUUCCUCAACUCCUUCUGUGGAUGAGAUACUGUUCAGAGUGCUGAGGAUUGAGGAUAUAGAUUUGGAGGGAUCAGCAUUGACCCCUAGGAACUCAUAGUCUAAUAAUCUCCCAGAGGUUGAAAAACUCCAAGAGGUCAAAGGGUAGGGAGAGACAGACAAUUGCAUAGCCAUGGAAUGAGCAGCAAGAGGGGUUGUGUGUGCAAAUUUAUCAGGUUCAGUAAUCAGCAGAGAGAGAGAGAGAGAGAGAGAGAGAGAGAAACUGUGCAGGACAGUUCCAGGAGGCUUCGUGGUGGACCUGAGGUUUGGGUUGAGGCAUGAAAGAGAAGUAAGGGCAGUCUGGGUGGCUCAGCGGUGUAGCACUGCCUUCAGCCCAGGGCGUAAGCCUGGGGACAUGGGAUCGAGUCCCCCAUCGGGCUCCCUGCAUGGAGUCUGCUUCUCCCUCUGCCUGUGUCUCUGCCUCUCUCUGUGUGUCUCUAAUAAAUAAAUAAAAUCUUUAAAAAAAAAUAGAGAAGUAGGUUUGCUAGAC